UCAAGGCCUCCCUUUCAAACCUAUAAGUGUUGCUACCAGACAAGGGCAAGCCACAUCUGGUGAUGCAAUCUCUUGGCAUUCCUUCCAAAAGUUGUUAUUACCACCAUCGCUGAUUUGAAACAAGUUUCUGGUUGACAUUUUCAGCAGAGGUUAUCAGGGAGGCAUGCUGUUUUCAGUACUUUUUUGUUUAGAAGGCUUUGCCACUCCGGUGACUCUCCUGGACAGAUGUUGCAUUUAUGCCUAGACUCUGUGUGAGGCCCACAGCAGAUGUCUCCAGAACAUGCCCCUCCAUUCCCUGCCCUGGGCUGCUCUGCUUCCCAAGGGAGAUGGCUCAUCCCACCUACUCCGCACACCAGAUUGAUGGGGACACAUAUCCUCGAGAUGGAAUCCCAGGGGUUUACCUACAGCCUUUCACUGGAACACAGGCUUUUUAUCUGUUAAUGCCAGCAGCAUCCUAAAUACAAAGGCUGAAAUGACUGGAUUUGAACAAAUGGUUUGCUGAUGAAUAGUUGUAUCUGAAAUCCUUGUCAAAAUUUCUAUUAGUUGAGAAUUUUCUA
rnacentral:lncRNA from 1 species